rnacentral:rRNA from 1 species
UACGUAGGGGGCAAGCGUUGUCCGGAUUUACUGGGCGUAAAGGGUGCGUAGGCGGCCUAGCAAGUCAGAAGUUAAAGCCCUCGGCUCAACCGAGGUAAGCUUUUGAAACUGUUAGGCUUGAGUGCAGGAGAGGAGAGUGGAAUUCCUAGUGUAGCGGUGAAAUGCGUAGAUAUUAGGAGGAACACCAGUGGCGAAGGCGACUCUCUGGACUGCAACUGACGCUGAGGCACGAAAGCGUGGGGAGCGAACAGGAUUAGGUACCCUGGUAGUCCACGCCGUAAACGAUGAGUACUAGGUGUUGGGGUCGACAGGCUUCAGUGCCGCAGUUAACACACUAAGUACUCCGCCUGGGGAGUACGGUCGCAAGACUGAA